rnacentral:rRNA from 1 species
GUCUACAGCCAUGCCACCCUGAACAAGCCCAAUCCAGUCUGAUCUCGGAAACUAAGCAGGGUCGGGCCUGGUUAGUACUUGGAUGAGAGAUCACCUAGGAAGACCAGGUGCUGCAGGUA